CCUACGGGAGGCAGCAGUGGGGAAUAUUGGACAAUGGGCGAAAGCCUGAUCCAGCCAUGCCGCGUGUGUGAAGAAGGCCUUCGGGUUGUAAAGCACUUUCAGUGGGGAAGAAAGCCUUGGGGCUAAUACCCUCGAGGAAGGACAUCACCCACAGAAGAAGCACCGGCUAACUCCAUGCCAGCAGCCGCGGUAAUACGGAGGGUGCGAGCGUUAAUCGGAAUUACUGGGCGUAAAGCGCGCGUAGGCGGUCUGAUAAGCCGGUUGUGAAAGCCCCGGGCUCAACCUGGGAACGGCAUCCGGAACUGUCAGGCUAGAGUGCAGGAGAGGAAGGUAGAAUUCCCGGUGUAGCGGUGAAAUGCGUAGAGAUCGGGAGGAAUACCAGUGGCGAAGGCGGCCUUCUGGACUGACACUGACGCUGAGGUGCGAAAGCGUGGGUAGCAAACAGGAUUAGAUACCCCUGUAGUC
rnacentral:rRNA from 1 species